UGUGUAUUAUUGGGUUUUUUUUCCUGUUUGGAGGGAGGUUUGGGGUUGCAAUUGAAUUUAAAAAGUUGUGUGUUGUUUAGUUUAAAAGAAGUUUAAACAGCGGUUUUGCCUGUAGGAGGGAUCCCCGUUAGCUAGUAGUAGUAGGUGGUUAGAAGGGUAGCGUAGCCUUGUGGUUUUAAAAAGCAAUUCUGUCUUUUUCCCAUUCCAAAGAUUUUUUUUUUUCAUUUUUAAAAAACAGAAGCCUGUCCUCCAGCCCUCUGUGCCCAUAAUAUAUCAGUAUUAAUAUUCUCUGCCCAGCAGCCUACAGGCUCUGAGUGGGCAGGUAGGCACAGACUCUAACCUCCUCCCUGUGCCCAUUUAGUUUACCACCCCCCACCCCCAACUGCAGCCUUUAAAGAAAGAAAGCCUUCAGCCGCCCCCCGCCCAAUCCACCAGCAGCCUAUAUUUGUAUCUGUUCCCUAGUGCCGAGCAGCCUACAGGCUCCGGGAGGCACACACUCUCACCUCCUCACUGUGCUCUUUUACCCACACCCCCACACACCACACACCCCAACUGUAGCAUUCUGAGGCCAUGGCAAAUAUUAGCCCUAAACCCACUAAAACUUUCACAGAGCACACACACACACACAGGUAUACUAUGCUUCCCCCCCACUCGCACAUAAACUCAAGUCUAGCAGCAUAUAUAUUAUGCAAUUCAAAUGUCAUGGUGUGUUGUUGUGCCUGUAUUCUGAGGACCUCAUGGAUGGGCACAGGACAGGUUCUCUCUCUGUGUGUGGACUUCUUUGUAAUGAAGAUUGGGUCAUAUUGUAUCUUCUAGCAUCAUCCUCAUUUUUAUUCAAACUAGAUUGCUUGCAUCUACAAUAGGUUGUGUUGGUGCCACAGGCUCUGAUCCAUUGCAGAAAUAUUUUUUAAAAAAAUACACCAAAAAUUGUGUGCCGUGUUGUCAUCAAUCGCCACUCUUCUACUUGUGUAGAUGGGAGGGGGGCCAAACCUCGCUGUUCCACUGGCAGAUUGUUUUGCAUCCUUACUUAACCCACUUAUGGCCGGGUGCCACAGAUGUAGCUGAGUCUGCUGCUUGUUGAUGAAAUGCUUGGAGGAGGGAGGGCACAUUUGAUGCUGUUGUUGGCCCUAGUCUGCUGCAUCUGUGAUAUCAUACUAACUUGCUUGCUUGUUGCUGGCUGCUGCUGUUAUCCUGCAUUGGAAGGGGGUGCGUGGGGCAGUGCAUUUCAUUGUUGUUGUUUUACACUGUUGUGUGUAGAUCAAUUGCAUUUAUGUUGGGGGGGGAUGGUGGGACACAGUGGAUGUGGUGAGUGGCACAGUGGAUGUGUGUGACCUUUGGAAACCUUGUUCUUUGCAAAGCUCUGCUGUUGUUGACGUGUGCUGCAUCCACCCUAUGGGACAAUGGGGAUAGACAGUAGAUUAUCUGAUAGCAAAUGAGAGUGGAUUCAUUUUCUAUGACAAACAGUGAAUCCACUCUCAUUUGCUACCAGAGAAUCUACUCUCAGAACAUCUCAGAAACAACAAAACCCAGUACCCCAUGGGCUUGUGGGUUUGGGGGUGGUUGGCACCCUAUGUGCACUACACCACCACUCACUCUGGGCCACCCCAGUGCCCCCCAAAUGGAGUCAUGGGGCUGCUGAAAUCCUCAUUAUUCCCUAUUGGGGAAAAGCAUAAAGACGCACAAACUUCACAAAUUAUUUUAAAUCACCCUUUUGCCCAAUUCCUUUGAAAUCUGGAUGGUAGCAGGCACCCAUUGGGGCACUACCACCUGACCCACUCUUCUGCCCCCUAAACCCCCUUUCUGUCCCAAAUCUGCCACAAAGACAUGCCAAAUUCAAAAAUCAUUUAACAUAGGAACAUAGGAAGCUGCCAUAUACUAAGUCAGACCAUUGGUCUAUCUAGCUCAGUAUUGUCUUCACAGACUGGCAGUGGCUUCUCCAAGGUUGGAGAAGUGAUUUAAAAAUCACCCCUUUGGCCAAUUCCUUUGAAAUCUGAGUGGUAGCUUCCUUGCACCCAUUGGGCACUACCACCCACCACACCCCACUCUCGGCCACCCCAGUGCCCCCCAUGUGGAGCUAUAAGGUUGCUGAAAUCCCCUUUAUUCACUAUGGGAAAAAGCUUAAAGAUGCAUAAACCGCAAAAAUUCUUUAAAAAUCACCCCAUGGCCCAAUUUCUUUGAAAUUUGGGUGGUAGUUUCCACACAUUGGACACUACCACCCACCCCCGGGACCCCUUUUUUGAUCCAUAUCUAUUCAGAUUCGGAUUUGGAAAAUUCAGGUACAAAUCAAAUCUGGGGUGAUUUGGGGGAUCAGAUUCAGACCCAAAACAAAUUGGUGGUGAUGCAAUUCAGGUACAGAUUGAAACAAAAAAAUUGAUUCAUGCACACCCCUGCUAGAUAGACUACAACAGCAUCCAUGGACAAGUGUUACACUCACACAAGCACAAAUGUGUCAAGCAGUCACAGUAUGAAGCCCUCAAAACUCCAUUCAGGGACGUAGCUAUAACUGAGCAAAAGGGUUCAAAGAACAUGGUUCCCUGGCUUCUGGGUGCCCUCCAGCUCCAUCCCUCCCUAUUUUCUUCAUUGUCUCCCUGGGGAUCCGCCAGAGAGAGGGAUGAACACGGGCCCCCUCUCCCCUAGCUACACCCCUGACUCCAAUCAUAUAUAAUGGUAUACAUGAACUAACAAGUGAAUGGCUCAAUGCCCUAAGACCUCUGCUAAUCAACUGUAUUUUCUAUGCAGCAUGGGUGUAUGUUUUAACUAUAAGGUGCACAUUUUAAUAAUGUCAUACAUGUUUAUGGGACAUGGAGGUCAGAGGAGGCAUGGCCAUGCUGGGAUUAAUGUCAAUUGAUGCCCAUAAUUAUUCUUUUAUGAGAGUUCAGUUGAGAUGUCAAGGGCUGUCUGGAUUCAUCCAUGCAAUUGUUGCCAUUAGGAGACAGUGUUAGAGAUAAGAGACAUUCUAGGACUGGCCUGAUUAGACCCAUUGUAUUCUAAAUUGUUUGCUCUCAGGGAUGUUGAUACUAAUCACUGUGAUAAAGAUUUCUUUGCAGGUUUUCUGGCAGUUUUUGUGGUGCAGCCUAGUACUCUCUUGAUAUUUCUUGUUCUAUGGAAAGACUGUUUUUGAGGGACUGUAAAUAUCCAUGAUUGGCAGCUUCCAAUGAAACACUGCUUGGAAGAGUCAAAUAGCUGGGCUUAGUAUAUCAUUUGCAUCUAACAAGG